rnacentral:rRNA from 1 species
ACGGAGGAUCCAAGCGUUAUCCGGAUUUAUUGGGUUUAAAGGGUGCGUAGGCGGAUUAAUAAGUCAGUGGUGAAAGCCUGCAGCUUAACUGUAGAAUUGCCAUUGAUACUGUUAGUCUUGAGUAUAUUUGAAGUGGGCGGAAUGUGCAGUGUAGCGGUGAAAUGCUUAGAUAUUGCACAGAACACCGAUUGCGAAGGCAGCUCACUAAACUAUAACUGACGCUGAGGCACGAAAGUAUGGGGAUCAAACAGG